GACGAACCGUGCGAACGUUGUUCGGAAUCACUGGGCUUAAAGGGCGCGUAGGCGGGCUGUCAAGUCUGGGGUGAAAUGCCGCGGCUCAACCGUGGAACUGCCUUAGAUACUGACGGCCUCGAGGAAGGUAGGGGCAUGCGGAACUGUAGGUGGAGCGGUGAAAUGCGUUGAUAUCUACAGGAACUCCAGUGGCGAAAGCGGCGUGCUGGACCUUUUCUGACGCUGAGACGCGAAAGCGUGGGGAGCAAACAGG
rnacentral:rRNA from 1 species